rnacentral:rRNA from 1 species
CGAAGGAUGCAAGCGUUAUCCGGAUUCAUUGGGUUUAAAGGGUGCGUAGGCGGACUUGUAAGUCAGUGGUGAAAUCUCUCAGCUUAACUGAGAAACUGCCAUUGAUACUGCAGGUCUAGAGUAUAGAUGACGUUGGCGGAAUAUGACAUGUAGUGGUGAAAUACUUAGAUAUGUCAUAGAACACCGAUUGCGAAGGCAGCUAACGAAACUAUAACUGACGCUGAGGCACGAAAGUGCGGGGAUCAAACAGGAUUAGAUACCCUGGUAGUCCGCACCGUAAACGAUGAUUACUCGUUGUUGGCGAUAUGACAGUCAGCGACCAAGCGAAAGCGAUAAGUAAUCCACCGUGGGGAGUACGCCGGCAACGGUG